UACGGGAGGCAGCAGUGGGGAAUAUUGCACAAUGGGCGAAAGCCUGAUGCAGCCAUGCCGCGUGUAUGAAGAAGGCCUUCGGGUUGUAAAGUACUUUCAGCGAGGAGGAAAGGUUAGCCGUUAAUAACGGCUAGCUGUGACGUUACUCGCAGAAGAAGGACCGGCUAACUCCGUGCCAGCAGCCGCGGUAAUACGGAGGGUCCGAGCGUUAAUCGGAAUUACUGGGCGUAAAGCGUACGCAGGCGGUUUGUUAAGCGAGAUGUGAAAGCCCCGGGCUCAACCUGGGAACUGCAUUUCGAACUGACAAACUAGAGUUUUGUAGAGGGUGGUAGAAUUUCAGGUGUAGCGGUGAAAUGCGUAGAGAUCUGAAGGAAUACCAGUGGCGAAGGCGGCCACCUGGACAAUAACUGACGCUCAUGUACGAAAGCGUGGGGAGCAAACGGGAUUAGAUACCCCGGUAGUCCACGCCGUAAACGAUGUCAACUAGCCGACUGGCCCCUUGAGGGCUGGGUGGCGCAGCUAACGCAUUAAGUUGACCGCCUGGGGAGUACGGCCGCAAGGUUAAAACUCAAAUGAAUUGACGGGGGCCCGCACAAGCGGUGGAGCAUGUGGUUUAAUUCGAUGCAACGCGAAGAACCUUACCAUCCCUUGACAUCCAGAGAAGCGACUAGAGAUAGACGUGUGCCUUCGGGAACUCUGUGACAGGUGCUGCAUGGCUGUCGUCAGCUCGUGUUGUGAAAUGUUGGGUUAAGUCCCGCAACGAGCGCAACCCCUAUCCUUAUUUGCCAGCGCGUUAUGGCGGGAACUCUAAGGAGACUGCCGGUGAUAAACCGGAGGAAGGUGGGGACGACGUCAAGUCAUCAUGGCCCUUACGGGAUGGGCUACACACGUGCUACAAUGGCAGGUACAGAGGGCAGCAAUACCGCGAGGUGGAGCGAAUCCCACAAAGCUUGUCGUAGUCCGGAUUGGAGUCUGCAACUCGACUCCAUGAAGUCGGAAUCGCUAGUAAUCGUAGAUCAGAAUGCUACGGUGAAUACGUUCCCGGGCCUUGUACACACCGCCCGUCACACCAUGGGAGUGGGAUGCAAAAGAAGUGGCUAGUUUAACCUUUCGGGGAGGACGGUCACCACUUUGUGUUUCAUGACUGGGGUGAAGUCGUAACAAGGUAACC
rnacentral:rRNA from 1 species